UUCCAUCUUCUACUUCUACUACUUCGAUUCUGCUGUCUUGCUUCACCUCUCCUUCUUUCAAUCAAGGUCACCAUUUAGGAAAGUUGAUUUUACGUCCAGAUGCAUCACUUUCCACUUGAACUGAGCAGCAAUUGCCAGAAGCAGGCGUAUGGUUUCAUGCCUCGCAACUGGAGCAAACGUUUCACCGAAGUCCACAACUUCAAGUUGAGCAAAUCCUUUGUAUUUAUUCAUUGAUCCAUCUGGAUUCAAUUUAAUUCUGAAAACCCAUUUAACGCUAAUUGGUUUUUUUUCUUCUGGUUUAGGAAUCAGCAACCAAGUUUUGUUCUUCUCGAUCAUGCUGAUCUCCUCCUUUAUGGCAUCUCUCCAACUCUUAUGUUGCACUGCAUCUGCAAAAGAGGUAGGUUCAGAUGCAGCAAAAUUGCAUCUUUCAUAUAUAUCUGUUAAGGCUCGGAAUCUAGUUUGUGAACUGCUUUCUUCAUCCUAAUUCACUUCAUCUUCUUCUUCAGUUUCCCAAUGAGCGUUUGGGAGUGCUGGAUUUUGGAUCUCAUUGCCAGUACCUUUGAAUUCACUAUCUGCUUCAAUUCUUCUUUCUUCCCAGUUCCAGUAGGUAGAUUCAUCUACCACAACAUCCCUGCGAAUUAUUAACCUGUUAAUGUUUAAGUUGAGAAUUUUAUAGCCUUUUGAUUAUGAGCCAUAUCCUAAAACACUCCCAACUCAGCUUUAUUAUCCAGCUUCUUUCUUCUCUCAUCUGGAAUGUGUGAGUAGCACACUGAUCCAAAAAUUUUCAGGUGUUAAGUAGAUGGUUUUCUACCACUCCAGGCUUCAUAUGGAGUUUGUUUCUUAGGAGCUUGAGUGGGCAAACAGUUUAGCAAAUACACCGAGGUGUUUAUUGCUUCAGCCCAAAACUUCCUCUGCAGGUGUUUGUCUACAAGUAGGCUUCUUCCCAUUUCAACAACUGAGCAAUUUCUCCUUUCUGCAACGCCAUUUUGCUGAGGCGAAUAAGGAACACUCAGCUGCCUCUUGACACCAUUUUUUAUGCAAAAAUUAGUGAACUCAGCCGAAGUGUACUCCAAGGCAUUGUCAGUUAAACAUUUCACACUUCUUUCACUUUCCUUCUCUACCCAAGCCUUAAACUCCACAAAUUGGUUGAAGACUUCACCUUUGCUGCGCAAGAAAUAAACCCAACACAUUCUGGUGAGAUUAUCAAUGAACAGAGUGAAAUACUUAUAACCACUUAAUGAUUCCUCACUCAUCGGGCCACAGAUGUCUGAGUGUACAAGCUCAAGCUUUUCUUUUACUCUCCACUGUGUUUGAGAUGGGAAGGGCAUUCUAGCCAUUUUGGCUAUUAGGCAAACAUCGCAUACACCUUCUGUCAUCUUGAAAGGAGGCAGGUCGAGACUCAUCUGAUGAGCCUACAAUUUUUCAAGACCUCCCUUGUGAUAGUGUCCAUACCUCCUGUGCCUUAUUCCUUCAUUUUGAUUGCCAAAUUCGUUUUGUUCUUUGGUUCUGCCAGAUUUAGAGCAUACAUUUUGUUUCUCAAGGGAACCUCGGCUAUGAGUUCAUCUUUUUCAUUAAAGAUUUCAUAGAAAGUAUGCUUAAAGGUAAUGGUGUAACCAUAACUUGCAAUUUGGCAUACAUUCAGUAAGUUUUGGCGUAGGUUAAGAACAAAUAAUACAUCAUGUAUCAACUUGUUACCUUGCUUUGUGCUUACCAGAACACUUCCCUUACCUUCAGCUCUAACAGCUUUCCCAUCACCAAGUUGAAUAUACUCCUUCAUAUUUUUGUUCAGAUUGUGAAAUAGCUCCUCUUCUUUGCACAUAUGAGCUGUGCAGCCACUGUCGACUACCAUAGUGCUUUGUUUUCAUUAACAGCUUCACUUGAAGCUACAAGGAGUGUAUUUGGAGUAUCUUCUUCAUUUUUGAUCAUGUUUGCCUGUUGUGGUUCGUGUUUUGAUUCCUCCUGCUUCUUUUUUAUUCUGCAAUCCUUCUCUUUGUGACCGAGUCUCUUGCAAAAAUUGCAUUUGAUAGUUCUUUUCCCUUUAUACCAGCAAUCUUUCUCAAGGUGAUUAGUUAAAGAAAAUAUUUUGCAUGGAGGGUAUCUGUUUCACUUACCUUGACUCUGGUUGCCUUGUCGUGAAUUUGAGCCUUUAUCCUCAAUUUUUAUCCCCUGAUUUUUAGUUCCAGACUUGUUUCUAGUCUAGGAAAUAAACAGUGCUCCUUCUGGAUUUAUGGUCUCCCUCAUACUGGCUCUUUGUUCUUAAGUCUCAAGUUUGUUUAUCAGUUCAGCAGCAAUGAUUGUAUCAGUGUCACCCAACUCCUCUAACACUGAAAUUUUUUAUUCAAAUUUGGCAGGCAAGCUCACCAAAAUAUGUUCUACUACUCAAGAUUCUGGAAAGUUUUCACUGAGUAGCCUGAUUUUGCUAACAAUAUCAGAAAGCCGAGAGGCAUAUUGCCUUAUAGUGUCUUCAUAUUUAUUCGCAAGGCAAUAAACUCAGCCUUCAAUUUUAUAAGCUUUAUUUUUUUGCUUCUGUGACCUCCAUCGAACUCUUCUUUGAGCUUAUCCCAAGCUGAUUUAGGUGUUUUGUAGGGCAAGAUCCUACUAAAGACAUUCUGAGACUGCCAUAAAUGCAGGCCAAGGCGUGAGGUUUCUUUGCUACUUCAUCCUCGUGCCUUUUAAUUUGAGUAAGAGACGAUGUGUCUCUUAGAGGAGGUGGGUCAUUGUCAUCAAGGACUACCUCCCACAAACUCAGAGAUUUCAGGUGAAUCUCCAUUGAAGUGCGGUGGAGCUGAAGUGCCAGAACAAGAAGACAUCUUGAUUGUCUCACAGUCCCUUAAGAAAAAUGCUUUGAUACCACUGUUGAUUUUAGCAGCUUAUCUACUGUUUUUGAAGCAGAUUGUAUUUGAGAAUUUAGAGAGAAAAUUUAGUAAGAGAAGGCACGAAAACAGAGUAAAAGCAUGCAAUUGCCUCUGUUUUCGUAUGUUGUAGAAGUAAGAAUAUAAUUGAAGGAGAAUUCGAUCGAUGUUCAUUGAUGAUUGAGUUCUUUAAAUAAGCAAGGUUACAACUGAAAAUUCUUAUCAGAUUAGAUAAUUUAGGUAGGCUGCAUAUAUGUAUGCAAAUACAACUCUUACGUGAUAAGAUUAUCAUGUUUAUUUUGAAUUCAAAAUUUCGAAAAAUAAACGCUAAUUCUUAUGUAAAUCAAUAGAGUACAUAUUAAAAAACUUUUCCAUAUCAUGAAAACAGUUUCAUGUAGCAUAUGUUAUACCUUGAAAGGUUCCCAACCCAUCCACUGAACAAUUUCUUCAAUAUGAUUAAUUUAUUCUUUCUUUUUAGCCUCAGGGUUAGUGUCAUCAUAUCUAGGUUACACAGAAAUUAGAAAUCAAAAUUCAGAAAUGAAUAUAGCUGAAGAGAAACAUCAUAUUAAAAAAUAUACAUGAGCCACUAAAUCAUAAUUAAUUGUUCACUCAUUUGGCUUUUGAAAUGCUAACACAGUUCACUAACAUUAGAAAAGAAAAAAAACAUGAUUCCAUUAUAUUCACGAAGGUAUACAGUGAACUCCUACCAAUGCAUAAGAAGACUCUCGUCUAAUUUAUUUCAGACAUUGACAACGACAUUGUUGUUAGUAGUGACAUUAAUGGUAUGACCAAGAAACUUCCCAUUAAUAACAAUAACCUGUCAAACAAUGAAGAAAUGAGAGCCUAACGCUUCCCGUUACAGUGCAAAACAAACACCUAAACACAAUGAGGGAAGAAAAAAAAAGGUUCACAUUUUGUAGAUCUGAAGCUAGACCAAAAAUUUUCAAACUUUUCAGGUAACUCAUUUACCAUCCAUGAAUAUGCACACCGCAUAAACCAAAACACCAUUCAAAAUAGUAAUAACAAAGAGAUAGUGGAAAAAAAAGAAGCAGAAAAACAGAUCUAAAGAGGAAUAUACCUGCUGAGGGUCUCCAAGAGGAGAAGCAGUAAUGUAGGAAACCAACAAUUCUAUAAAUCUGGGGAACAAGGAAAUGUGGAUAAGGAAGAAAGAAAAAAUCCUACACAAAGCCAUCCUUUUGAAGAACGCUAAUCUUUUGGGAAGUGUCUCAGAAGUUCAGAGCCAAGUUUUUUUUGUUACCCUUUACUUUUUUUUUCUGGGUUUUACAAUAUUAGAUUAGAAAGGAAAACUAAAGAAGAAAGUAGAGGCUGUACUUCUGCUUUAUCAUAUUAUCAAAUUAUCAGUUUUUUUUGUGUGGAAUUAUCUAGGUUUGACUAGAAACCCAAUAAACCCAACUAAGAACCCAGAUAGAGAAAAUAUAGGUGCAUCAAAUCAAAUUGACUAGUUGUGCUACUGUACCAACACCACACACUUCCUCAAAUUCAUUCAACUUAUAAUUCUCAGAACCAGUAGCUACAAAAAAUGAAAAUGCUACAUCCAACUGAGCUGUGGUCUUAAUAUGCAAAUUAUUACCAGGAAAGAAUAAUUAGUUCGGAUACUUCAAAAACACAGUUUUAAUAGCAAACACCAUAAACUAGAGCAGACAUAUAAAAACCAAAAGAAAUUAUUAUUGUAGUCAAUCCUGAAGGCAUAGAACUAAAAAUAAUGAGAGCUGCUGCAAACCCUUAGAGGAUAUAAUAUAUUCGAGUAAAGUUCGGCGAUGCACUAAAGCAUUUGUUGGAAACUUCGUGGCAACCUGCUAAAUAUUUAUUUACACGCAGAUAAUAUAUAUAUAUAUGUGCGUAUGGAAUUGCUUUAUUGCUUCACUUCUAAACAACGCAGAUAUGGAGCGAACUUGUAAAGGGAGCUUGGCUGUCCUCUUUCCAUUUCUGGGUUUUUGGUUUUUAGACAAAGAAUGGUGGUUAGGGUUUUGUUUAUAGUGAAAGUGUUUCUCUUUACACUCAACAAAGUGUUAUGCAACAGAGGAAAACAGGGGAAGAAGACAAAGCAAAAGAGAAAAAGAAGGAUGUGUGUAUCUUUGCAUGCAUUGAUGUAAGAGAGAGAUUAGAGAGGAAGGCCAAGCCAUUGCCCAUUUCAUCUUUCUUUUUGUUACCAAACUUUUAUUAGUCUAUAUAAGAAAAGGACCUCUAUAUUAA